AUGCGGCGCCUCCGCCUCCUCCUGCCGCUCCUCAUGCUCGCCGGGGCGGCGGCGGUCGUCGCCGCGCGCCCACCGUUUGCUUGCGCGCCCGGUGGCCCGGCGACGUCGAUGGCAUUCUGCCGGCGGUCGCUGCCGCUGCGGGCGCGCGCGCGGGACCUCAUGGCGCGGCUGACCCGGGCCGAGAAGGUGCGCCUCCUGGUGAACAACGCCGCCGGCGUGCCGCGGCUGGGAAUCGCCGGUUACGAGUGGUGGUCGGAGGCGCUCCACGGCGUGUCGAACACCGGGCCUGGGGUGCGGUUCGGCGGUGCGUUUCCGGGCGCCACCGCGUUCCCGCAGGUCAUCGGCACCGCCGCGUCGUUCAACGCCUCGCUCUGGGAGCUCAUCGGCCGGGCGGUGUCAGACGAGGGGCGAGCGAUGUACAACGGCGGUCAGGCGGGCUUGACCUUCUGGAGCCCCAACGUGAACAUCUUCCGCGACCCGCGGUGGGGCCGCGGCCAGGAGACGCCAGGCGAGGACCCCGCCGUCUCCGGCCGCUACGCCGCCGCCUAUGUCCGCGGCCUCCAGCAGCCCUACGGGGGCGGAGGUCGCCACGGCGGCCACACGCGCCUCAAGACCGCCGCCUGCUGCAAACACUUCACGGCCUACGACCUCGACAGCUGGUCCGGCACCGACCGCUUCCACUUCAACGCCAUCGUCACGCCGCAGGACCUCGAGGACACCUUCAACGUCCCCUUCCGCUCCUGCGUCGUCGACGGCCGCGCCGCCAGCGUCAUGUGCUCCUACAACCAGGUCAACGGCGUGCCCACCUGCGCCGACGAGUCCUUCCUCCGCGGCACCAUCAGGGGCAAGUGGCACCUCGAGGGGUACAUCGUCUCCGACUGCGACUCCGUCGACGUCUUCUACCGCGACCAGCACUACACCAGGACCCACGAGGACGCCGUCGCCGCCACGCUCCGGGCCGGCCUCGACCUCGACUGCGGCCCCUUCCUGGCCGUCUACACCGAGGGCGCCGUCGCGCAGCGGAAGGUGUCCGACGCCGACAUCGACGCCGCCGUCACCAACACCGUCAUCGUGCAGAUGCGCCUCGGGAUGUACGACGGCGACCUGGCCACGCAGCCGUUCGGCCACCUCGGUCCGCAGCACGUGUGCACGCCCGCGCACCAAGAGCUGGCGCUGGAGGCGGCGAGGCAGAGCGUCGUGCUACUCAAGAACGACGGCGCUGCGCUGCCGCUCUCACGAGCCGCGCACCACACAGUCGCCGUCGUCGGCCCGCACUCCCAGGCCACCGUGGCCAUGAUCGGGAACUACGCCGGUCAGCCGUGCCGGUACACCACGCCGCUGCAGGGCAUCGGCAGGUACGUGAAGACCACAUUACAUCAGGCGGGCUGCACCGACGUGGCAUGCCAAGGCGGCAACCAGCCGAUCGCCGCUGCCGUCGACGCGGCCCGCCGUGCUGACGCCACCGUCGUCGUCGUUGGCCUCGAUCAGAAGGUCGAGGCCGAGGGCCUGGACCGGACAAGCUUGCUCCUUCCUGGUCGCCAGGCGGAGCUCGUAUCCGCGGUGGCGAAGGCCUCCAAAGGGCCGGUGAUCCUCGUCCUCAUGUCCGGCGGGCCCGUCGACAUUGCCUUCGCGCAGAACGACCGGAAGAUCGCUGGCAUCCUGUGGGCAGGGUACCCCGGCCAGGCCGGCGGGCAGGCGAUCGCGGACGUGAUCUUCGGUCACCACAACCCAGGAGGGAAGUUGCCGGUGACAUGGUACCCACAGGAUUACCUGCAGAAGGCGCCGAUGACAAACAUGGCGAUGCGCGCCGACCUGGCGAGGGGGUAUCCCGGACGGACGUAUCGGUUCUACACUGGCCCGACCAUCCACCCGUUCGGGCACGGCCUCAGCUACACCAAGUUCACCCACACGCUCGCGCACGCGCCGGCGCAGUUCACCGUCCAGCUUGCCGGCCACCACGCCGCCGCCGCCUCCUCCCUCAACACAACGAAGCAUCUUGGCCGCGCCGCCGCCGAUGUGCGUGUCUCGCACGCGCGGUGCGAGGGCCUGAGCAUCCCGGUCCACGUGGACGUGAAGAACGUCGGAGACCGGGACGGCGCGCAUACGGUGCUCGUGUACGCGUCCCCUCCAGCUGCGGCCGCCGCGGCCCACGGCGCGCCCGCUCGUCAGCUGGUUGCGUUCGAGAAGGUGCACGUUCCCGCCGGCGGCGUGGCCCGCGUCGAGAUGGGCCUCGACGUCUGCAACGAACUCAGCGUGGCCGACCGGGACGGCGUCCGGAGGAUCCCCGUGGGCGAGCACACGCUGACGAUCGGCGAGCUAACCCACUUGGUCACGCUGGGGGUCGAACAACUAGCAGUGUAG
rnacentral:rRNA from 1 species